rnacentral:rRNA from 1 species
UAAGGAAUAUUGGUCAAUGGGCGCAAGCCUGAACCAGCCAUGCCGCGUGCAGGAAGACGGCCCUAUGGGUUGUAAACUGCUUUUGUCAGGGAAUAAACCCCCGCUCGUGAGCGGGGCUGAAGGUACCUGAAGAAUAAGCAUCGGCUAACUCCGUGCCAGCAGCCGCGGUAAUACGGAGGAUGCAAGCGUUAUCCGGAUUCAUUGGGUUUAAAGGGUGCGCAGGCGGAUUGGUAAGUCAGGGGUGAAAUCCCACAGCUCAACUGUGGAACUGCCUUUGAUACUGUCAGUCUAGAGUAUAGUUGAAGUGGGCGGAAUGUGUCAUGUAGCGGUGAAAUGCUUAGAUAUGACACAGAACACCGAUCGCGAAGGCAGCUCGCUAAUCUAUAACUGACGCUCAUGCACGAAAGCGUGGGGA